CCAUAGCCCUGAUUGCAGCGGCAUCCUUUUUUAGCUUGGAGCGGUAGCGGAAAGUUAAAAAAGAUAUAGCGGAAAGCAGGAAUCAGC
rnacentral:sRNA from 1 species